AUUAUAAAUAAUAGUGCCAGCAAUAGCGGUUAGACUAUAAUAAAGAAUAAAUUAGAUAUAAUUAAAAUUAUAAAUUAAGAUUAAAAAUUAAUAAAUUAAAUAAUUUAUAUAGUGAAAUAUUUAAAUUUUAGAGAUUUUUUAAUUAAGAAAAAUAAUUUGAAGAUAAAAAAAUAAACUAGGAUUAGAUACCCUAUUAUAAUUAUUUAAUAAUAAAAAAAAUUAGAGAGAAUUUAUAUAAUUUGGCGGUAUUUUAAAGAGUUAGAGGAGCUUGUUUAUUAAUUUGAUAAUCCACGAUAGGAGAAACCUAAAUAAGAUUUUAUGUAUUGUUGUUUAAAAAUUAUUUUAAGAGAAAGUAAUUUAAAUAAUUGAUUUAUAAAAAAUUCAAAUCAAAGUGUAGGAUAUUUAGGAUUUAAUGAGUUACAUUUUUUUAUAAAAAAUAAAUUAUUUUAAUUAUAAAAAUUAUUAGUAUUUAAUAGUAAUUUUAUUAAAUUUAAUAAGAUGAAAUUUAUAGAAAAUAUGUACAAAUUGCCCGUCAUUUUCAUGAAUAAUUAAGUGAAAAAAGUCGUAACAAAGUAAAUAUAUAGGAAUAUGUAUUUA
rnacentral:rRNA from 1 species